UUAGCAUUCCCCUUGACAAGGAUGGAAGAGGCCCCCAGGCCUUACAGCACACAUAUGGACAUUGCCAUCUACUUUGUGGCAUCUAACCACAGUUUUUU
rnacentral:ncRNA from 1 species